rnacentral:rRNA from 1 species
UACGUAGGGGCCAAGCGUUGUCCGGAUUUAUUGGGCGUAAAGAGCUCGUAGGCGGUUCGGCAAGUCGAAUGUGAAAUCUCCACGCUCAACGUGGAGGGGUCAUUCGAUACUGCCGUGACUUGAGUACGGUAGGGGAGUGUGGAAUUCCUGGUGUAGCGGUGAAAUGCGCAGAUAUCAGGAGGAACACCGGUGGCGAAGGCGGGUCUCUGGGCCGAUAUUGACGCUGAGGAGCGAAAGCGUGGGGAGCGAACGGG